rnacentral:rRNA from 1 species
UGGGGAAUAUUGGACAAUGGGCGAAAGCCUGAUCCAGCCAUGCCGCGUGUGUGAAGAAGGUCUUCGGAUUGUAAAGCACUUUAAGUUGGGAGGAAGGGUUGUAGAUUAAUACUCUGCAAUUUUGACGUUACCGACAGAAUAAGCACCGGCUAACUCUGUGCCAGCAGCCGCGGUAAUACAGAGGGUGCAAGCGUUAAUCGGAAUUACUGGGCGUAAAGCGCGCGUAGGUGGUUUGUUAAGUUGGAUGUGAAAUCCCCGGGCUCAACCUGGGAACUGCAUCCAAAACUGGCAAGCUAGAGUAUGGUAGAGGGUGGUGGAAUUUCCUGUGUAGCGGUGAAAUGCGUAGAUAUAGGAAGGAACACCAGUGGCGAAGGCGACCACCUGGACUGAUACUGACACUGAGGUGCGAAAGCGUGGGGAGCAAACAGGAUUAGAUACCCCGGUAGUCCCUGAGCGGGCUGGCAAGGCGCAU